CAUAGCGACUAUCGUGGCAUAUCAAUAAGCGGAGGAAAAGAAACUAACUAGGAUUCCCUCAGUAACGGCGAGUGAAGCGGGAAGAGCUCAAAUUUGAAGUCUUCAAGGUUCUACCUUGACGAAUUGUAGUUUAAAGAAGUGUUUUCUGUUGGAGUUUUGGUAAAAGUUCUUUGGAAUAGGACAUCAUAGAGGGUGAGAAUCCCGUAUUUGACCAUUAUUUCCAACUUUGUGAUACACUUUCAAAGAGUCGGAUUGUUUGGGAAUGCAGUCCAAAAUGGGUGGUAAAUUUCAUCUAAAGCUAAAUACUGGCGAGAGACCGAUAGCGAACAAGUACCGUGAGGGAAAGAUGAAAAGAACUUUGAAAAGAGAGUUAAACAGUACGUGAAAUUGUCAAAAGGGAAGCGUUUGACACCAGUGUUGUUUUCUCGAGAAUCAAUUAAAAAAGGCCGGAUUUUGUGUUGUAUUGACCUUAAAAGCUUUCUUCACUCUUUUCUUGUCUUUUUUAAUGCACUUUUCGUUUAACAAGUCAACAUCAGUUUCUUUUGUUGUAAAAGGGUCAUUGGAAGGUGGCUUUCUUUUCGGAGAAAGUGUUUAUAGCCUUUGAUCUCUGCAACCGGAGAGACUGAGGUCUGCAGCGUAGACUCUUCGGGGUUAGAUACAUUUGUGCUAAGCUAUAGCUUUUUAUAGACAACUUGUUGACUAUAUUUAGUCUUGUGGCUUACUCGCUUAUGCUAUUUUACCUACGCUUAGGAUGUUGACGAGACUGUCGAUCUC
rnacentral:rRNA from 1 species